GACCCCGUAGCUCAGUUGGAUAGAGCAACAGCCUUCUAAGCUGUAGGUCGCGCGUUCGAGUCGCGCCGGGGUCGCGA
rnacentral:tRNA from 4 species